AUUGAACGCUGGCGGCAUGCCUUACACAUGCAAGUCGAACGGUAACAGGUCUUCGGAUGCUGACGAGUGGCGAACGGGUGAGUAAUACAUCGGAACGUGCCUAGUAGUGGGGGAUAACUACUCGAAAGAGUGGCUAAUACCGCAUGAGAUCUACGGAUGAAAGCAGGGGAUCGCAAGACCUUGUGCUACUAGAGCGGCCGAUGGCGGAUUAGGUAGUUGGUGGGAUAAAAGCUUACCAAGCCGACGAUCUGUAGCUGGUCUGAGAGGACGAUCAGACACACUGGGACUGGGAAACGGCCCAGACUCCUACGGGAGGCAGCAGUGGGGAAUUUUGGACAAUGGGCGCAAGCCUGAUCCAGCAAUGCCGCGUGCAGGAUGAAGGCCUUCGGGUUGUAAACUGCUUUUGUACGGAACGAAAAGCCCCGGGUUAAUACCCUGGGGUCAUGACGGUACCGUAAGAAUAAGCACCGGCUAACUACGUGCCAGCCGCCGCGGUAA
rnacentral:rRNA from 1 species